rnacentral:rRNA from 1 species
UUAAUCUUUUUUAUAGAUUUAUGAAACAUUUGACCUAUUUUUUAAUAAUUGCUUAUAAAAGUUUUAUUCUUGCUUAUGUGUUUGUUUGUUGAAUAGUUUACAUGAAAAUUUUUGUAGGGAAUAAUUAUAUCUAGAAGAUAAAUUUAUUAUUCUCAGUAUUUAAUAUUAAUAAUCAAAGAAAUUUGGAAUUAGUAAUUUAAUAUAAAAUUGGCUAAAAUUGUGCCAGCCGCCGCGGUUAGACUUAGGAUUUAAGUAAGUAGUAUUGGUAUGGAAGUUAACAAUUAUAGUAAGAAAUAUAUAAUUUCUUUUUGAGGGUGGAAUUUUUAGAAAGAAUAUAAGAUUUUUAUAAAGUGAGGCUUUGAAAUUUAAAUAAUAAACUAGGAUUAGAUACCCGAUUA